rnacentral:rRNA from 1 species
CAGCAGUAGCCGCGGUAAUACGUAGAUGGCAAGCGUUGUCCGGAAUUAUUGGGCGUAAAGGGCUCGCAGGCGGUUUCUUAAGUCUGAUGUGAAAGCCCCCGGCUCAACCGGGGAGGGUCAUUGGAAACUGGGAAACUUGAGUGCAGAAGAGGAGAGUGGAAUUCCACGUGUAGCGGUGAAAUGCGUAGAGAUGUGGAGGAACACCAGUGGCGAAGGCGGCUCUCUGGUCUGUAACUGACGCUGAGGAGCGAAAGCGUGGGGAGCGAACAGGAUUAGAUACCCGAGUAGUCCCUGUCUCUUAUAC